UACGGGGGGGGCAAGCGUUGUUCGGAAUUACUGGGCGUAAAGGGCUCGUAGGCGGCCAACUAAGUCAGACGUGAAAUCCCUCGGCUUAACCGGGGAACUGCGUCUGAUACUGGAUGGCUUGAGUUCGGGAGAGGGAUGCGGAAUUCCAGGUGUAGCGGUGAAAUGCGUAGAUAUCUGGAGGAACACCUGAGGCGAAGGCGGCUGUCUGGCGGUGUAUCGACGCUGAGGCGCGAAAGCGUGGGGAGCAAACAGG
rnacentral:rRNA from 1 species